rnacentral:rRNA from 1 species
UGGGGGAUAUUGCACAAUGGGGGGAACCCUGAUGCAGCAACGCCGCGUGAGGGAAGAAGGUUUUCGGAUUGUAAACCUCUGUCGUAGGUGAAGAAAGAAAUGACGGUAGCCUACAAGGAAGCUCCGGCUAACUACGUGCCAGCAGCCGCGGUAAUACGUAGGGAGCGAGCGUUGUCCGGAAUUACUGGGUGUAAAGGGUGCGUAGGCGGCAAUGCAAGUCAGGUGUGAAAACCAUAGGCUUAACCUAUGGACUGCACUUGAAACUGUGUUGCUUGAGUGAAGUAGAGGUAGGCGGAAUUCCCGGUGUAGCGGUGAAAUGCGUAGAGAUCGGGAGGAACACCAGUGGCGAAGGCGGCCUACUGGGCUUUAACUGACGCUGAGGCACGAAAGCGUGGGUAGCAAACAGG